CAUGUGUCUGAGCACAGCACAGGGCCCUGCACACUUAUUGCCAGGCUGCUCUCACCCUGGGCAGGCGUCGGUCUCCGCCAGCACCCAGCAUGGACACGAGCACCUCCACUGCGCUCCUGGGGCUCCUGCUGCUCUGGCUCACAGGUGCCAGAUGUGCCAUUGAGAUGACCCAGUCUCCACCCUCCCUGUCUGCAUCUGUGGGAGAAACUGUCAGGAUUAGGUGCCUGGCCAGUGAGGACAUUUACAGUGGUAUAUCCUGGUAUCAACAGAAGCCAGGGAAACCUCCUACACUCCUGAUCUAUGGUGCAUCCAAUUUAGAAUCUGGGGUCCCACCACGGUUCAGUGGCAGUGGAUCUGGGACAGAUUACACCCUCACCAUUGGCGGCGUGCAGGCUGAAGAUGCUGCCACCUACUACUGUCUAGGCGGUUAUAGUUACAGUAGUACCGGUACCACAGUGUUACAAACCCUAACAAAAACCACCAGGAAAGCAGAAGUGUGA